rnacentral:tRNA from 1 species
CCUUUCGUGGUGUAAAGGUAACGCGCCCUAUUCAGAGAACAGGGAUUCGUGAGUUCGAUUCUCACCGAGAAGA